GAUGAAGAACGUAGCGAAAUGCGAUAAGUAAUGCGAAUUGCAGAAUUUCCGUGAGUCAUCGAAUCUUUGAACGCACAUUGCGCCCGCCAGUAUUCUGGCGGGCAUGCCUGUUCGAGCGUCAUUUCAACCCUCAAGCCCAGCUUGGUGUUGGGGAUCGGCACAGGCGCCCUCGGGCGCCCGCCGUCCCCUAAAUCUAGUGGCGGUCCCGCUGCAGCCUCCUCUGCGUAGUAGUUUUCUCCUCGCAAGGGCAGCUCGGUGGCGACCUCGCCGUAAAACCCCCAACUUCUGAAAGGUUGACCUCGAAUCAGGUAGGAAUACCCGCUGAACUUAAGCAUAUCAAUAAGCGGAGGA
rnacentral:misc_RNA from 1 species